GCGGCUGUGGUAUAGGGGUUGUGCCCGAGGCUUCCAUCCUCGUGAGGCUGGUUCGAAUCCAGUCAGCCGCU
rnacentral:tRNA from 1 species